AUGCCAUGAUGAGGAAAUUUUUGCAAUAACUCAUUGAAUCGCUCUUAUGCAUCAUAGAUAUAUUUUUCGUAGAGUUGCUAAAAUGUAGUGAUUUCAUUUUUGAGCUU
rfam:Gossypium arboreum cultivar AKA8401 contig_92263_1, whole genome shotgun sequence.